AUUGAACGCUGGCGGCAGGCCUAACACAUGCAAGUCGAGCGAGCGGCGGACGCGGGUGUAAUGUCUGGGAAACUGCCUGAGGGAGGGGGAUAACUCCUGUAAACAGUAGCUAAUACCGCAUACCACCUGAUGUGCCCCGAUGGGCUUAGCUAGUGGGUGGGGUAACGGCUCACCUAGGCGACGAUCCCUAGCUGGUCUGAGAGGAUGACCAGCAACACUGGAACUGAGACACGGUCCAGACUCCUACGGGAGGCAGCAGUGGGGAAUAUUGCACAAUGGGCGCAAGCCGGAUACAGCCAUGCCGCGUGUGUGAAGAAGGCCUUCGGGUUGUAAAGCACUUUCAGCGGGGAGGCGUUACCCGCAGAAGAAGCACCGGCUAACUCCGUGCCAGCAGCCGCGGUAAUAC
rnacentral:rRNA from 1 species